rnacentral:rRNA from 1 species
UACGUAGGGUGCAAGCGUUUGUCCGGAAUUAUUGGGCGUAAAGAGCUCGUAGGUGGCCUGUCGCGUCGGCUGUGAAAACUCGGGGCUCAACUCCGAGCUUGCAGUCGAUACGGGCAGGCUAGAGUUCGGCAGGGGAGACUGGAAUUCCUGGUGUAGCGGUGAAAUGCGCAGAUAUCAGGAGGAACACCGGUGGCGAAGGCGGGUCUCUGGGCCGAUAUUGACGCUGAGGAGCGAAAGCGUGGGGAGCGAACAGG